GAUGAACGCUGGCGGCGUGCCUAAUACAUGCAAGUCGAGCGAACGGACGAGAAGCUUGCUUCUCUGAUGUUAGCGGCGGACGGGUGAGUAACACGUGGAUAACCUACCUAUAAGACUGGGAUAACUUCGGGAAACCGGAGCUAAUACCGGAUAAUAUUUUGAACCGCAUGGUUCAAAAGUGAAAGACGGUCUUGCUGUCACUUAUAGAUGGAUCCGCGCUGCAUUAGCUAGUUGGUAAGGUAACGGCUUACCAAGGCAACGAUGCAUAGCCGACCUGAGAGGGUGAUCGACCACACUGGAACUGAGCCACGGUCCUGACGCCUACGGGAGGCAGCAGUAGGGAAUCUUCCGCAAUGGGCGAAAGCCUGACGGAGCAACGCCGCGUGAGUGAUGAAGGUCUUCGGAUCGUAAAACUCUGUUAUUAGGGAAGAACAUAUGUGUAAGUAACUGUGCACAUCUUGACGGUACCUAAUCAGAAAGCCACGGCUAACUACGUG
rnacentral:rRNA from 1 species